ACGGGUGGGUAACACGUAUCCAACCCGCCGAUAACUACGGGAUAGCCUUCGUAAGAAAGAAUUAAUAUCCGAUAGCAUAUCAAUACCCGCCAUGAGAUUGAUAUUAAAGAAUUUCGGUUAUCGAUGGGGAUGCGUUCCAUUAGUUUGUUGGCGGGGUAACGGCCCACCAAGACUACGAUGGAUAGGGGUUCUGAGAGGAAGGUCCCCCACAUUGGAACUGAGACACGGUCCAA
rnacentral:rRNA from 1 species